CUCAGUGUCAACUGUUUGUGC
rnacentral:misc_RNA from 1 species